rnacentral:rRNA from 1 species
CCGCUGAAAGCAUCUAAGCGGGAAACUAGCCUCAAGAUGAGAUCUCACUGGAACCUUGAGUUCCCUGAAGGGCCGUCGAAGACUACGACGUUGAUAGGUUGGGUGUGUAAGCGCUGUGAGGCGUUGAGCUAACCAAUACUAAUUGCCCGUGAGGCUUGACCAUAUAACACCCAAGCAAUU